GUCUAUGCUGUAAACGAUGAAUGUUGGAUGUUGGUUUAAUUUAUCGGUGUCUAAGCUAACGCGUUAAAUAUUCCGCCUGAGUAGUACGAUCGCAAGAUUGAAAUUCAAAGAAAUUGACGGAGUCUCGUACAAGCGGUGGAGCAUGUGGUUUAAUCUGAUACAACGCGUAGAACCUUACCAAUUCUUGAGUAUAAUUUAGAGAAAAUUUGUUAUAAAUUUUUCCAAAUAUUUAGUUUAAUAUUUGUGUAUAUAUUAUUAAAUUAUACACGUUUUGCAUGGUUGUCGU
rnacentral:rRNA from 1 species